CCGAGUACCGGUGCCCUUUGGGUACCUGCUCCCACCAUUUGUGAACCUUUUUCGUUGCCUCGGCGGACCGAUGGUCCCCAUCCUCCGGCGCAAGCUGGAGAGUGUUCGCCAGAGGAUUUUCAAACCCGUUUAAUUUUGAAAUCUGAGUCAAAACAAAAUAAAAACA
rnacentral:misc_RNA from 1 species